rnacentral:rRNA from 1 species
CCAGGCCUAACACAUGCAAGUCGAACGCCCUCUUCGGAGGGAGUGGCAGACGGGUGAGUAACACGUGGGAACCUACCUAGGGGUACGGAAUAACUCGGGGAAACUCGUGCUAAUACCGUAUACGACCCAAGGGUGAAAGAUUUAUCGCCCCUAGAUGGGCCCGCGCUGGAUUAGCUAGUUGGUGGGGUAAAAGCCUACCAAGGCGACGAUCCAUAGCUGGUCUGAGAGGAUGAUCAGCCACACUGGGACUGAGACACGGCCCAGACUCCUACGGGAGGCAGCAGUGGGGAAUCUUGGACAAUGGGGGAAACCCUGAUCCAGCCAUGCCGCGUGAGUGAUGAAGGCCUUAGGGUUGUAAAGCUCUUUCGCCAGGGAAGAUAAUGACGGUAC